UAAAAAAAUCUUUUGUACCUUUUGUUUUUUAAAACUUCAUAAAAGUUUUAAAUUUAUAGAAAAAUUGUGGAAAUAGUAGAGCUCCCAUAUUCUCCAUGUCCAGUUUCCCUUAUUAACAUAUUAGUAUGAUACAUUUGUUAUAAUUAACAAGCCAAUGUUGAUAUAUUGGAUUUCUUUAGUUUUUGCCUAAUGUCCUUUUUCUGAUCUAGUAUCCCAUCCAGGAUACCUCAUUACAUUUAGUUGUCAUGUCUCCUUAAGCUCCUCUUGGUUAGGACAGUUUCUCAGACUUUCCUUGUUUUUGAUGACCUUGACAGUUUUGAGGAGUACUAGUCAGGUAUAAUUUAGGGUGCUCCUCGAUUGGGUAUCGUCUGAUGUGUUUCUGGAAUUGAAUUGUGGGUUUUUGGGAGGAAGAUCACAGAGGUAAAGGGCCAUUUUCUACAUGUCAUACCAAGGGUUCUUAUAGCAAAGUGAUUUAUAUUGGUUUAUGUUGACCUUGAUAAUUGACUGAAGUAGUGUUUGUCAAGUCAAGUUACUUUUUUCCCCUUCUUUCCAUACUUUACUGUUCAAAAGGAAGUCACUAUCUGCUGCCCUUACUGAAGGAGUGGGAAGUUAUACCCCGCUCUUUUACGGUGGAGCAGCUACAUGUUUGACUUGGGAUUCUUCUGUGAGCAAGAGACAUAGUCCCACAGUAUCUAUGCACAGGUGAAAUCCUGGCACACUACAGUGUGAAACUCCUGGGCUCAUGUGAUCCUCCUGCACCAGCCUCCUUUGCAGCUGGGACUACAGACACGUGCCACUGUGCCUCAGCUCCUAAUUUUCAAAGUUGGACUCCCUUCAUUAUCAGAGCAUAUGGCAAAUUGCAUAACAUACUCUCCUUUAUAUCUAUUGUUCAUAGUCCGAGUUCCACAGGUCAAUGGAUAUUUUGGCUCGCUACCAUCCCCGAUGUUGAUGUUUCUCUAGUCAUUUUGGUUGCUAGAAGCUCAUUCUCCAGGAGAUCCUACGGAAAGGGAUAUGGAAACAAUAUUCCUUAAGUUCCUGAAUGCUCAUAACUGUCUAUGAUCCUUGACAGUUUGCAUGGACAUAAAACCCUUUGGUCAGAUUUUCUUUCCUUAAGUAUGCUAAAUAUGUUGCUCUAUUAUCUUCAAGCAUAAAAGGUUGCUGUUAAAAGAUCUGAUAACAAUUUAUCAUUUCCUUUAUAUGUCAUUUGGGCUUUGUCUGGAUAUAAAUAAAAUAUUUUAAAAUCUUU